AUUGAACGCUGGCGGCAGGCCUAACACAUGCAAGUCGAACGAGCGGCGGACGGGUGUGUAAUGUCUGGGAAACUGCGUCAUUGAGGGGGAUAACUUCUGUAUACGGUGGCUAAUACCGCGUACCAUCCGGUUUGCUCAGAUGGGUUUAGCUAGUUGGUGGGGUACCGGCUCACCUUGGCGACGAUCCCUAGCUGGUCUGAGAGGUUGACCAGCCACACUGGAACUGAGCCACGGUCCAGACUCCUACGGGAGGCAGCAGUGGGGAAUAUUUCACAAUGGGCGCAAGCCUGAUGCAGCCAUGCCGCGUGUGUGAAGAAGGCUUUCGGGUUGUAAAGCACUUUCAGCGGGGAGGCGUUACCCGCAGAAGAAGCACCGGCUAACUCCGUGCCAGCAGCCGCGGUAAUAC
rnacentral:rRNA from 1 species